rnacentral:rRNA from 1 species
AUGAACGCUAGCGACAGGCCUAACACAUGCAAGUCGAGGGGCAGCGCGGAGCAAGCUUGCUUGCUUUGGCGGCGACCGGCGCACGGGUGCGUAACAGGUGUGCAAUCUGUCCAUAAUCGGGGAAUAGCCCAGCGAAAGUUGGAUUAAUGCUCCAUGUGAGCAGAGGAGGCAUCUCCUUUGUUUGAAACGUAAGGAUUAUGGGUGAGCACGCUUCUGAUUAGGUAGUUGGUGAGGUAACGGCUCACCAAGCCGACGAUCAGUAGGGGUUCUGAGAGGAAGGUCCCCCACAUUGGAACUGAGACACGGUCCAAACUCCUACGGGAGGCAGCAGUGAGGAAUAUUGGUCAAUGGACGGAAGUCUGAACCAGCCAAGUCGCGUGAAGGAUGAAGGUUCUAUGGAUUGUAAACUUCUUUUGUCUGAGGGUAAAAAAGCGGACGUGUCCGUUCUUGCAAGUAUCAGACGAAUAAGCAUCGGCUAACUCCGUG